rnacentral:rRNA from 1 species
UACGGGGGGGGCUAGCGUUAUUCGGAAUCAUUGGGCGUAAAGGGCGCGUAGGCGGCGCGGUAAGUCAAAGGUGAAAUCCCUCGGCUCAACUGAGGAACUGCCUUUGAAACUGCCGUGCUUGAGUCCGGGAGGGGGUAGCGGAAUUCCCAGUGUAGAGGUGAAAUUCGUAGAUAUCGGGAGGAACACCGGUGGCGAAGGCGGCGACCUGGGUAGAUACUGACGCUGAGGUGCGAAAGCGUGGGGAGCAAACAGG